rnacentral:rRNA from 1 species
CAAAAUAAGUGAUAUGGAGCAAAACCCUAAAAACGGUACUCAGUUCGGAUUGAAGGCUGAAAUUCGCCUUCAUGAAGCUGGAAUUGCUAGUAAUGGCAGGUCAGCAUACUGCCGUGAAUACGUUCCCGGGCCUUGUACACACCGCCCGUCACACCAUGAGAGUUGGGAAUACCCGAAGCCUGUGAGCUAACUGUAAGGAGGCAGCAGUCGAAGGUAGAAUCAAUGAUUGGGGUGAAGUCGUAACAAGGUACC